rnacentral:misc_RNA from 1 species
UUUCCGUAGGUGAACCUGCGGAAGGAUCAUUAUUGAAUUUAAUGAGGAGUUGGUUGUUGCUGGCCUUGGGGUUUUUUUAAUUAAUUAUUCCAGGCACUUGUGCACGCCUUCUCUUUCAUCCACACACACCUGUGCACUUGUGAGACAGACUGUGGGGGACUUUAUUGGACUCCCGUCUGUCUACUUAAUUCACACACACUCUAUUUAAUUUAAACUGAAUGUAAUUGAUGUAACGCAUCUAAUACUAAGUUUCAACAACGGAUCUCUUGGCUCUCGCAUCGAUGAAGAACGCAGC